rnacentral:lncRNA from 1 species
AUGCUGCCGGGAUAUAACUCAAUGGGGGUGGAAUCAGCUGUAAUCGUCCUUGUUAGCGACACACACCAGAGGCUUGUGAUUGAAAAAUGCUUUCAGGACCCUUGCUUUCCUGGCCAGCAAAAAAACUUACGAAAACGAUUCUCAUGUGGGGAAUACACAAGGAAAAAAUGGAUGUGUUUUCUUCAACACCUGUUUUCAUUAAGCAAGGGGAAGGAAAUGAAAGAACUUUUUAAUGCUUAUCAAGUAAGUGCCAGAAGCUUACAUAUGUUAUCCCGCUUUAUCUUUCAACUCAGAGAGGUGUAG